ACACCUCAACUCUCACGGUUUGCCGUGAUGAGCUUGGUCUUUGGAGGUCUUGCCGGCCCAUGGUCGGCUCCUCUCAAAUGAAUCAGCUUGCCAGUGUUUGGUGGCAUCGCAGGUGUGAUAACUAUCUACGCUUGUGGUUCUCCACCAGGUAACCUUCAGUGAUGGAGGUUCGCUGGGGCUCACAAAUGUCUCUCCUCGGUGAGGACAGCUUCUCGAAC
rnacentral:misc_RNA from 1 species